UUGUUGUUAUAGUAGCGAUUAUGGCCAUUCUGCUUGGAAUUGAGAACUGAAGAAGCCGCUUUACCGUUCUUCGAACUACGACCUCCCAUCAGAGAAAGGUGAAAGCAACUUACAGAAGCGAAACAAGAAACCCAAUAUUUGAUGAAGGAGACGGAAGCGGUUUACUGGACGAGGCAGCUGGACAAAAACCACCCGUUGACUUUGUUUGACCGGUAACAGAAACCGACGUUCACACACCAAAUAGAAGUAUAGAACCCCAACUCUGAUUUAUUGCCAAAU
rnacentral:lncRNA from 1 species